ACGACGGCGAGUGACAUGGAGGGAGGCUCCGCCAGCGUGCCUCCAUCGCCGAUCUGCUGAUCCCUCCUCCUCGUGGCCUACUCCUAGAGAGUUGCUGGAUGGAGGUGGACCAGCGGCGAGGUGCAGCGCUGGGCCGGAGGUGGACGAGCAGCAAGUGGCGGUUGAUCUAGAUCUCCUACACCCAGGAGGAUGAGAAGAAGGCAGCUGUGAGCCGUCGUUUUUUUUUAUCUUCAGCACUUGAUUGAGUCAUCUCCCUUUUCCCCCCACCAAAAUUAAUAUUUCUGCAAGAUGAUGUAAAUCAACAUCUUCAAAGAAGGCACCAGUUCACAACAAUCCAAAUCAAUGAACAAGCUGUGAGCGUUGCAAAGAUUAAAUUGGAUGAUCAUGUAUUUCUUGGCAAUCGGCUGCAUGUGUCAUAUGCACCUUAGUUUGAGAUAUUUUUGGAUACCAAGGAGAAAUCGGAACUCGGGAGAAACGAAGACCUCGAUCACAUAGGAUGUAUGGUCUCACCAUUU